UACGUAGGUGGCAAGCGUUGUCCGGAUUUACUGGGCGUAAAGGGCGUGCAGGCGGUUUGUUAAGUCUAGGGUGAAAGCUCCCGGCUCAACUGGGAGAGGUCCUUGGAUACUGGCGAACUUGAGGGAUGCAGAGGAAAGUGGAAUUCCCGGUGUAGUGGUGAUAUGCGUAGAUAUCGGGAGGAACACCAGUGGCGAAGGCGCUUUCUGGGCAUUUCCUGACGCUGAGAUGCGAAAGCGUGGGGGAGCGAACCGG
rnacentral:rRNA from 1 species